GAUGAAGAACGUAGCGAAAUGCGAUAAGUAUGUGAAUUGCAGAAUUCAGUGAAUCAUCGAAUCUUUGAACGCACCUUGCACCCUUUGGCAUUCCGAAGGGUAUGCUCGUUUGAGUGUCAUUGUACUCUCACACUCCCAAUUGCUUUGGAUUGGGAGCGGUGGACUUGGGUGUUGCUGCUUGACUGAGGCUCACCUGAAAUAUGUUAGUGCACCUCUUGAUUGGACAUAGUACGGCGUGAUAAGUGUCUUCGCCGGCUCCUCGCAAAGAGGGUGGCCGAUCGGGAGCUCUGUUGCUUCAAACUGUCUUCGGACAAUCUUCUGGCGACUUGACCUCAAAUCGAGUAGGACUACCCGCUGAACUUAAGCAUAUAAUAAGCGGAGGA
rnacentral:misc_RNA from 1 species